GAUGAACGCUGGCGGCGUGCCUAAUACAUGCAAGUCGAGCGAACGGACGAGAAGCUUGCUUCUCUGAUGUUAGCGGCGGACGGGUGAGUAACACGUGGAUAACCUACCUAUAAGACUGGGAUAAUUUCGGGAAACCGGAGCUAAUACCGGAUGAUAUUUUGAACCGCAUGGUUCAAAGGUGAAAGACGGUCUUGCUGUCACUUAUAGAUGGAUCCGCGCUGCAUUAGCUAGUUGGUAAGGUAACGGCUUACCAAGGCAACGAUGCAUAGCCGACCUGAGAGGGUGAUCGGCCACACUGGAACUGAGACACGGUCCAGACUCCUACGGGAGGCAGCAGUAGGGAAUCUUCCGCAAUGGGCGAAAGCCUGACGGAGCAACGCCGCGUGAGUGAUGAAGGUCUUCGGAUCGUAAAACUCUGUUAUUAGGGAAGAACAUAUGUGUAAGUAACUGUGCACAUCUUGACGGUACCUAAUCAGAAAGCCACGGCUAACUACGUG
rnacentral:rRNA from 1 species